rnacentral:rRNA from 1 species
CACCCAACAGCUAGCCCAACCACCAACUCAUAAACCCCCACUUUAUAUAAACCCAAACACACUACCCCAAACAAACAAACCAUUUUUCCCCCUAAGUACGGGCGACAAAAAAGGACCCAGGAGCAAUAGAAAAAGUACCGCAAGGGAAAGCUGAAAGAGUAAUGAAACAACCCAGUUAAGUAGUAAAAAGCAGAGACUUCUUCUCGUACCUUUUGCAUCAUGGAUUAGCUAGAAUAUUUUAAGCAAAAAGAAUUAUAGUUUAACACCCCGAAACUAGACGAGCUACUCCAAGACAGUCUAACUUAUAGGACCCCCCCGUCUCUGUGGCAAAAGAGUGGGAAGAGCUUUGAGUAGAGGUGAAAGACCUACCGAGCCUAGUUAUAGCUGGUUGCCUGAGAAAUGAAUAGAAGUUCAGCCCCUUAAGUUCUCAACCCCCUUUUGGCUUAAAGGCCUUUACGCCGAACAAGAGAAAUCAAGGAAGUUAGUCAAAGGGGGUACAGCCCCUUUGAUAUAAGACACAACUUUUCCAGGAGGGUAAGGAUCAUAAGCAAAUUAAAGGUUAAAUACCCUAGUGGGCUUAAAAGCAGCCAUCUACCCAGAAAGCGUUAAAGCUCAAGCAUAGACUAACCCCUUCAAAUAAGGACAAUAUAAUCUCACCCCCCUAAUAUCUACCAGGCCGCCCCAUAAAAAAUAUGGGAGUGUACAUGCUAAUAUGAGUAAUAAGAGAAACACCCCUUCUCUCCCCGCACAAGUGUAAAUCGGAACGAACCCCCACCGAACAUUAACGGCCCCAAAACAAAGAGGGGACUAAACAAGAAAUAAAUAACUAGAAAAUCACCUAACACCCCACCGUUAACCCUACACUUGGUGUGCCAACCGGGAAAGACUAAAGGAAAAAGAAGGAACUCGGCAAAUACAAGCCUCGCCUGUUUACCAAAAACACCGCCUCUUGUACACCAAAAAUAAGAGGUCCCGCCUGCCCUGUGACUGUAAGUUUAACGGCCGCGGUAUUUUGACCGUGCAAAGGUAGCGCAAUCACUUGUCUUUUAAAUGGAGACCUGUAUGAAUGGCAUAACGAGGGCUUAACUGUCUCCUUUUUUCAGUCAAUAAAAUUGAUCCCCCCGUGAAGAAGCGGGGAUAUACACAUAAGACGAGAAGACCCUGUGGAGCUUCAGACUCCAGAGUAGACCACGUUAAGCACCCCUAAUCUAAAGGGUAAAACUAAAUGGCCCCUACUCUAAUGUCUUUGGUUGGGGCGACCGUGGGGAAACAAAAAACCCCCACAUGGACCAGGAGCACCAGACUCCCACAACCCAGGGCCACAACUCUAAGUAACAGAACCUCUGACCAGCAAGAUCCGGUACAGACCGAUCAACGGACCAAGUUACCCUAGGGAUAACAGCGCAAUCCUCUUUUAGAGACCAUAUCGACAAGAGGGUUUACGACCUCGAUGUUGGAUCAGGACAUCCUAAUGGUGCAGCCGCUAUUAAGGGUUCGUUUGUUCAACGAUUAAAGUCCUACGUGAUCUGAGUUCAGACCGGAGUAAUCCAGGUCAGUUUCUAUCUAUGAUACAACCUUUUCUAGUACGAAAGGACCGAAAAGAAGAGGCCUCUGUUCUAAACACGCCUCCCUCUCACCUAUUGAAAUCAACUAAAAUAGGUAAGAGAGUGUACUUUUCCCACCCAAGAAAAUGGUUU